rnacentral:rRNA from 1 species
AGCGAACGCUGGCGGCAGGCUUAACACAUGCAAGUCGAGCGGGCACUUUCGGGUGUCAGCGGCGGACGGGUGAGUAACGCGUUGGAACGUGCCCUCUGGUUCGGAAUAACUCAGGGAAACUUGAGCUAAUACCGGAUACGCCCUUUUGGGGAAAGGCUUGCUGCCGGGGGAUCGGCCCGCGUCUGAUUAGCUAGUUGGUUAGGUAACGGCUCACCAAGGCGGAGAUCAGUAGCUGGUCUGAGAGGAUGAUCAGCCACACUGGGACUGAGACACGGCCCAGACUCCUACGGGAGGCAGGAGUGGGGAAUAUUGGACAAUGGGCGCAAGCCUGAUCCAGCCAUGCCGCGUGAGUGAUCAAGGCCUUAGGGUUGUAAAGCUCUUUUAUACGGGACGAGAAUGACGGUACCGGAGGAAUAAGCACCGGCUAACUUCGUG